UUCUGGAAUAACAUCCAAACAAUGGCAGGCAUUGUCCUGCAGGGCGGAGGCGGACGAUUGUGUACGUAGCGUUGAGAUUUUUAAAGAGCUUUUGGGAGCACAUGACUGAUUUGUGGGGUCCGAAUGGAAAGGCAAACAAAAAACAAAGAUGUGAACUUCCUCCACCAAAAUAGCCAUCUGCUAAGUCAUGGGAUCCUGUGGCCUUGAACACUAAGUCACUGUUUCCAGGUCAGCCAUGGGCCAGUCUAAGAGGGAGACAAAAGUUCCGCACUGCAGGUUUAACAAAAGUAACUGCAGACGUUUCAAUCAGGAGAGACUUGGGGUGGUGAACAGAGGCAUAGAAAUCCCCCAUCCCUGGCUGAGCUUGAACUGGGCCUGGAUCUGAUGAGCAGGAGGUGAAGGGGUGGAGGACUGCUGCAGAGAUUCAUGCUGAAGUGACAGCUGACAGCAGAGGAGAGAACUUUUUUUAAAAAGUAUUUUUUAAUGCAGCAUUAAAGUUACAGGAAAUGUUUUCAGCAGUACUAAUGGAAACUUGGGUUAAUGAUGAUAAAUUGACAAAACAUUCCAAAACACCACAAUGUCAAUGGUACAGUGGUGUUUUGGCGUUUUUUUACUCAACCAAAGUCAUGUGUACUAUUCAUUGAGUUGACUGUAUUGUACUUCUCCAGUGAACAUUUAGGGUGUUUGAUACAGCCAGCAGACACAAAGGAAACUUGAGAUAAGUAAUUUAGUUUUCAGCAGUGUUAGGGAGUAAGUAGUUGCAUGUAAUUUAGUUACAUAAUUUAAUUACAAAAUAAAUGUAACUAAUCCACCCGAAAUGUGUAAUUAAAUUGAAGUUACUUAAGAUGUUCAUGAUUACAUUGGGGGAUACAUCUGAAUAUUUUCUGUAAAAAGCUAGGCUGAAUGUUGAAUGACAUUGAUGUGAAAUAAAAAAGAG